rnacentral:tRNA from 1 species
GGAAAUGUAGCUCAGUGGUACAGCACUUUGCCUAGCACAUGGUGCAAGGCCCUGGGUUCAAUUCCCAGUACCA